rnacentral:lncRNA from 1 species
UUUUUUCAGAACACACACAAGUGAUGUGCUUUAUUUAUUAUUAAUAAGGCAGAGAAAGGUUUCUCUGUCACACUCACACACAACAUAAAGGGUAGUAAAUCAUAAAGGUUCCAUUACAUGGUGGCAGGGAGCUCCCCACCCAUGCCACUAGUAGGGUCUUCAGCCUGCCCACCCAUGCCACCAGUAGGGCCUUUAACUUGCCCACCCAUGCCACAGGUGGGGCCUUCAGCCUGCCCACCCAUGCCACCAGUAGGGCCUACUGGCAGGUCGGUGUGCUCCUGGAAGGGGAAUGGCUGCAGUUUUGGCUGUGCUGCUUGUAGGAUCAUCUCAAUCGAUAUU